rnacentral:rRNA from 1 species
AGUCACUGACAUUAGAUACCCGUGUAGUCCAGGGUGUAAACGCUGCAGACUUGGUGUUGGGGGCCCUUUGGGGGCAUUCAGUGCCGGAGAGAAGUUGUUAAGUCUGCUACUUGGGAGUACGUCCGCAAGGAUGAAACUUAAAGGAAUUGGCGGGGGAGCACCGCAACGGGAGGAGCGUGCGGUUUAAUUGGAUUCAACACCGUAAACUCACCAGGGAAGACUGUUACAUGAAGGCCGAGAUGAAGACUCUGCUAGAUUUUCAG